UACGUAGGGUGCAAGCGUUAAUCGGAAUUACUGGGCGUAAAGCGUGCGCAGGCGGUUCUAUAAGACAGAUGUGAAAUCCCCGGGCUUAACCUGGGAAUGGCAUUUGGGACUGCAAGGCUGGAGUGUGGCAGAGGAGACUGGAAUUCCUGGUGUAGCAGUGAAAUGCGUAGAUAUCAGGAGGAAUACCGAUGGCGAAGGCAGGUCUCUGGGCUGACACUGACGCUCAUGCACGAAAGCGUGGGGAGCAAACAGG
rnacentral:rRNA from 1 species